GGAACCAAGGAAGACAACACCACUCCUCACUCGGAAACAGAAGAAUUUCUCCUCAGCGAAGCAUCAUGGCUUUUACACCAUAUCGUAGAUUGAGAGGAUCAUACGUACCUGAGACCAAGAUUAUGUUGUGUGCUAUGCUUUCUGGAGUUGUUAUACUCCCUCUGAUAUUGUUCCUUGAAUGCCAUUAUGAGUACAAGUCAAUGGCAAGUUCUGGAAAAAGACUCUGACAUGAUGAACAAUUCUUCAAUACCCCCAGCCCAAUUAGGCCUUAGCCCCUCAUCUAGCAUUCGUCACACACGCCCCCUCAAGAACCUUUUCCCACCACCUUUCUAUCAGCAUGCAAUAUGCAAUCAUUCAUUCACUGAACGCAUUUGGAUGAAUUGGACAAAUAGUAACCCUUAUAAGUACCAGUUACCCAUAUGAAAUGUGUCCACAGCUAAUGAAACCGAUGCAUUAUGUUUGUUUGAAGGUUCACAGAAAAUUGUUAGAUCUUAUAACGCAGAAAUGUGCACAGUUAAGGUUGCAUAUCAAUGUAAACAGACAGGCCUUAUUACUUUUAAUAAUGAUUAUAUAACUG